rnacentral:rRNA from 1 species
UACGUAGGGCGCAAGCGUUGUCCGGAAUUAUUGGGCGUAAAGAGCUCGUAGGCGGUUUGUCGCGUCUGCUGUGAAAACUCGAGGCUCAACCUCGGGCUUGCAGUGGGUACGGGCAGACUAGAGUGCGGUAGGGGUGACUGGAAUUCCUGGUGUAGCGGUGGAAUGCGCAGAUAUCAGGAGGAACACCGAUGGCGAAGGCAGGUCACUGGGCCG